UUAGGGGAUUUUAAUGAAAUUUUACUCUCGUGAGAAAAAGAGGGCGAAAAUGCAAGACCAAAUGCUAUAAUGAGAGACUUUCGUAAUUGUUUAGGAGACUGUGUCCUCGAGGAUAUGCGUUGUAUUGGUGACCCUUUCACUUGGAGGAGAGGUGAUACUAGAGAGAGACUUGACCGUGCGGUGUGCAAUGUGGAAUGGGCGAACAAAUUCCCUCGAGCCGCGAUUAUCAGUGAGGAACACGUUCAUUCUGAUCACCGUCCACUCGUACUGGAUACAGAAUAUUUUGACAGAAAUGUUUUUAAUGCCCCAUGGGGACGAGUAAAACAGUUUGAAGCUCGAUGGCUCAAGGAGGAGACGGUCGGUGAAAUUGUUCGUACAACAUGGGAAAAUGCAAAGAUGAUGGGGAUUGGACCAAAGCUCGCUGAUCGUACUCGUGCAAUUCAGUCAGAUUUGUGUAUUUGGGAUCGUGGGGUUUUGAGAGGCCCAAAAUAG
rnacentral:rRNA from 1 species